UGCGCAGGCGGGCUUGUAAGUCAGUGGUGAACUACUGCCGCUUAACGGUAGAACUGCCAUUGAUACUGCGAGUCUUGAAUAUGGUUGAGGUAGGCGGAAUGUGUUGUGUAGCGGUGAAAUGCAUAGAUAUGACACAGAACGCCGAUUGCGAAGGCAGCUUACUAAGCCAUUAUUGACGCUGAGGCACGAAAGCGUGGGGAGCGAACAGGAUUAGAUACCCUGGUAGUCC
rnacentral:rRNA from 1 species